rnacentral:rRNA from 1 species
GGAUAACCUGCCCUUGGGUCCGGCAUAACCCCGGGAAACUGGGNAUAAUUCNGGAUAACGCACAUAUGCUGGAAUGCUUUAUGCGUCAAAUGGAUUCGUCUGCCCAAGGAUGGGUCUGCGGCCUAUCAGGUAGUAGUGGGUGUAAUGUACCUACUAGCCGACGACGGGUACGGGUUGUGAGAGCAAGAGCCCGGAGAUGGAUUCUGAGACAUGAAUCCAGGCCNUACGGGGCGCAGCAGGCGCGAAAACUUUACAAUGCGGGAAACCGUGAUAAGGGGACACCGAGUGCCAGCGUCAUACGCUGGCUGUCCAGGUGUGUAAAAUACACCUGUUAGCAAGGGCCGGGCAAGACCGGUGCCAGCCGCCGCGGUAACACCGGCGGCCCGAGUGGUGAUCGUGAUUAUUGGGUCUAAAGGGUCCGUAGCCGGUUUGGUCAGUCCUCCGGGAAAUCUGAUAGCUCAACCUGUUAGGCUUUCGGGGGAUACUGCCAGACUUGGAACCGGGAGAGGUAAGAGGUACUACAGGGGUAGGAGUGAAAUCUUGUAAUCCCUGUGGGACCACCUGUGGCGAAGGCGUCUUACCAGAACGGGUUCGACGGUGAGGGACGAAAGCUGGGGGCACGAACCGGAUUAGAUACCCGGGUAGUCCCAGCCGUAAACGAUGCUCGCUAGGUGUCAGGCAUGGCGCGACCGUGUCUGGUGCCGCAGGGAAGCCGUGAAGCGAGCCACCUGGGAAGUACGGCCGCAAGGCUGAAACUUAA